rnacentral:rRNA from 1 species
UACGUAGGGUGCAAGCGUUUGUCCGGAAUUAUUGGGCGUAAAGAGCUCGUAGGCGGUCUGUCGCGUCUGCUGUGAAAACUCGGGGCUUAACCCCGGGCCUGCAGUGGGUACGGGCAGACUAGAGUGCGGUAGGGGAGACUGGAAUUCCUGGUGUAGCGGUGAAAUGCGCAGAUAUCAGGAGGAACACCGGUGGCGAAGGCGGGUCUCUGGGCAGUAACUGACGCUGGAGGAGCGAAAGCGUGGGGAGCGAACAGGAUUAG